rnacentral:rRNA from 1 species
GACGAACGCUCGUUGCGUGCUUAACACAUGCAAGUCGAACGGAAAGGCCCUGCUUUUGUGGGGUGCUCGAGUGGCGAACGGGUGAGUAACACGUGAGUAACCUGCCCUUGACUUUGGGAUAACUUCAGGAAACUGGGGCUAAUACCGGAUAGGAGCUCCUGCUGCAUGGUGGGGGUUGGAAAGUUUCGGCGGUUGGGGAUGGACUCGCGGCUUAUCAGCUUGUUGGUGGGGUAGUGGCUUACCAAGGCUUUGAUGGGUAGCCGGCCUGAGAGGGUGACCGGCCACAUUGGGACUGAGAUACGGCCCAGACUCCUACGGGAGGCAGCAGUGGGGAAUAUUGCACAAUGGGCGGAAGCCUGAUGCAGCAACGCCGCGUGCGGGAUGACGGCCUUCGGGUUGUAAACCGCUUUCGCCUGUGACGAAGCGUGAGUGACGGUAAUGGGUAAAGAAGCACCGGCUAACUACGUGCCAGCAGCCGCGGUGAUACGUAGGGUGCGAGCGUUGUCCCGAUUUAUUGGGCGUAAAGGGCUCGUAGGUGGUUGAUCGCGUCGGAAGUGUAAUCUUGGGGCUUUACCCUGAGCGUGCUUUCGAUACGGGUUGACUUGAGGAAGUUAGGGGAGAAUGGAGUUCCUGGUGGAGCGGUGGAAUGCGCAGAUAUCAGGAGGAACACCAGUGGCGAAGGCGGUUCUCUGGGCCUUUCCUGACGCUGAGGAGCGAAAGCGUGGGGAGCGAACAGGCUUAGAUACCCUGGUAGUCCACGCUGUAAACGGUGGGUACUAGGUGUGGGGUCCAUUCCACGGGUUCCGUGCCGUAGCUAACGCUUUAAGUACCCCGCCUGGGGAGUACGGCCGCAAGGCUAAAACUCAAAGGAAUUGACGGGGCCCCGCACAAGCGGCGGAGCAUGCGGAUUAAUUCGAUGCAACGCGUAGAACCUUACCUGGGUUUGACAUGGAUCGGGAGUGCUCAGAGAUGGGUGUGCCUCUUUUGGGGUCGGUUCACAGGUGGUGCAUGGCUGUCGUCAGCUCGUGUCGUGAGAUGUUGGGUUAAGUCCCGCAACGAGCGCAACCCUUGUUCACUGUUGCCAGCACGUUAUGGUGGGGACUCAGUGGAGACCGCCGGGGUCAACUCGGAGGAAGGUGGGGAUGACGUCAAGUCAUCAUGCCCCUUAUGUCCAGGGCUUCACGCAUGCUACAAUGGCUGGUACAGAGAGUGGCGAGCCUGUGAGGGUGAGCGAAUCUCGGAAAGCCGGUCUCAGUUCGGAUUGGGGUCUGCAACUCGACCUCAUGAAGUCGGAGUCGCUAGUAAUCGCAGAUCAGCAACGCUGCGGUGAAUACGUUCCCGGGGCU